CUGUAACACAAUGGAUAGUGCCUUGGACUUCUAAUCCAAAGUUCGUGGGUUCGAAUCCUAUCUGCUAUGG